GUAAAGUAUCACCGCUUUUUUCAAUUAAAAAUGAAUACCAAAACAAAACAACUGGAAGCAUGAUAUUUCUCCGCUGUGUUGUUGUUCUCAGAUGGUUGGGUGGAUAAUAAUGGUGCAGAUUUACCCGAAACAAACGGAAAUGGAAACGGUCGGCACAAACCUGUGGUAGACAUGCAGAAAGGUAUGUUGAAAUAUAAAAACAUAUGAAACCUAUAAACGAGAGCGAACUGCAGUGUGUGUCUGGAUUUGUUCACAGGUGACCCUCAAGGCGUUCAUCUGGACAUCAGUAUGUAUCUAGCAAUAAAACACACACAACUAAUCAACACACUAUCACAACGUUAUAUUACUGACAGACUACUAUCCUGGAAUCGAUGUGAAUAUUCCCAAAUGUCUUUCCAAACAGGCGGAACAGGCCAUCAGGACGCUGCAACGGCGAUGCAUCACACAGCUGUUGGUGCACUUGAUCUAAACGACCACACUCUCAGUCCCUACACAGACACCACUGGAUUUGACGGUGUCAUUGGUGCAGGAGCGCAGACAGAUAUGGCAGGUGCAGGAGGUGAUCCAGCGACUGACGGACAGACUUUAACAGACAUGACAGGUGAGUGCACCACAUUAUGCAAAGGAGUUAUUCAAAUAAAAAUGAAAUAUUUAUUAUUUGCUGUUUCCUGUUAUUCAGGGCAGGGACAUUUAGCUGUGACAGAUGGCAUGCCAAAUUACACAGGUAACCACAUCUGCUCAGCACAUGCAGACACAUGUCAGUCUAUCACUCAUGCGAGGGUUUUAAUGUGA
rnacentral:lncRNA from 1 species